rnacentral:rRNA from 1 species
UACAGAGGUCUCAAGCGUUGUUCGGAUUCAUUGGGCGUAAAGGGCGCGUAGGCGGGCCUCCAAGUCCGGGGUGAAAUCCUCCCGCCCAACGGGAGAAGAGCCUCGGAGACUGGGGGCCUCGAGGGAGGUGAGGGGCGUGCGGGAACUAUGGGGUGGAGGUGCGGUGAAAUGCAUUGAUAUCCAUAGGAACUCCGGUGGCGAAGGCGGCACGCUGGACCUCUUCUGACGCUGAGGCGCGAAAGCCAGGGGAGCAA